rnacentral:rRNA from 1 species
CAGGGAUAGCCUUUCGAAAGAAAGAUUAAUACCUGAUAGUACUUAUUUAAGGCAUCUUUUAUAAGUUAAAGAUUUAUCGGUUAUGGAUGGGGAUGCGUUCCAUUAGAUUGUUGGUGAGGUAACGGCUCACCAAGUCUUCGAUGGAUAGGGGUUCUGAGAGGAAGGUCCCCCACAUUGGUACUGAGACACGGACCAAACUCCUACGGGAGGCAGCAGUGAGGAAUAUUGGUCAAUGGGCGAGAGCCUGAACCAGCCAAGUAGCGUGAAGGAUGAAGGUCCUAUGGAUUGUAAACUUCUUUUAUAGUAGAAUAAAGUGAUCCACGUGUGGAUUUUUGUAUGUAUACUAUGAAUAAGGAUCGGCUAACUCCGUG